AGAGUUUGAUCCUGGCUCAGAGCGAACGCUGGCGGCAGGCUUAACACAUGCAAGUCGAACGAUAAGCUAGACUUCGGUUUAGUGGACAGUGGCAGACGGGUGAGUAACGCGUGGGAAUCUACCUUUGAGUGGGGAAUAACAAUUAGAAAUGAUUGCUAAUACCGCAUACACCCUCCGGGGGAAAGGCUUCGGCCGCUCUUAGAUGAGCCCGCGUACGAUUAGUUUGUUGGUGAGGUAAAGGCUCACCAAGACUACGAUCGUUAGCUGGUUUGAGAGGAUGAUCAGCCACACUGGGACUGAGACACGGCCCAGACUCCUACGGGAGGCAGCAGUGGGGAAUAUUGGACAAUGGGCGAAAGCCUGAUCCAGCCAUGCCGCGUGAGUGAAGAAGGCCUUAGGGUUGUAAAACUCUUUCGACAGGGAAGAUAAUGACGGUACCUGUAUAAGAAGCUCCGGCUAACUCCGUGCCAGCAGCCGCGGUAAUACGGAGGGGGCAAGCGUUGCUCGGAAUUACUGGGCGUAAAGCGAGCGUAGGCGGUUAGUCAAGUUGGUGGUGAAAGCCCGGAGCUCAACUCCGGAACUGCCAUCAAAACUGGUUUACUAGAGAUUGGUAGAGGAAAAUGGAAUUCCUAGUGUAGAGGUGAAAUUCGUAGAUAUUGGGAAGAACAUCGGUGGCGAAGGCGAUUUUCUGGGCCAUAUCUGACGCUGAGGUUCGAAAGCGUGGGUAGCAAACAGGAUUAGAAACCCUGGUAGUCCACGCCGUAAACGAUGAGUGCUAGAC
rnacentral:rRNA from 1 species